UCGAGAAGGUGAGAGCGGAGUAGACGAUGUUCACGAGAGUUGGAGCCAGCUCUGCAUCAUGGACGAUGAUCGAGCGGGAUUCAUAUCUCGGAAGUUUUGAAUCCUGUUCCUGAGUUGUCUGUCUAGGAGUCUGAAAAGUUCGUCUAUUGAUCGGAAAGUGUUAGUGUGCAGUCGCGCAUUACGUUCCGUCCACAACCAAUAGAGCGUUGAUUGCCAAGCUUGAAGGGUUAAAGUUCUUUGGGCAGACGGUGGCGGAAGCGAUAUCAUUUGGUGAAGCAAGUCAUUCCAAGACAACAGGGGAGGGAUGCCCAAUCUUCUCACCACCAUCGUCUACAAACCCGAGCCAUAGCUACACUCAAUGAAGAGAUGAUCACGAGAUUCUGGGUGAGCAUUGCAGAGCAAACAAUGAUCAGCAACUUGAAGACCCCAGGAGAUAAGUCUGUCCCUUGUAGGCAAUCUGUUCUGAAUCACAAGCCAUAAGUGGAAGCUAUGGCGUGGUAUCGCCCUUGAUAUCCAAACCACAGAGUACCAGUUUACCGCCGGUUUUUCCUCCCUCAGGUGUCCAUAGAGUUGAAGUUGUGUCUCUGACCUCGCUGGUGGAAACCUCCAUGAGCCAUCUGAGUAGAGCGAUGAGACUGUUGCUUGCUGGCUAAUACCCCUUCUUGAGUUGGAGGCAGUCAAGUACAAAUUCAGGUCACCGAAAGGCGUCCAAUUGUCAUGCCAAAAUCUAGCCGUUUCUCCAUUCUCGACUCUCAUCUUGAUUAACUUGUAGACCACCGGCUUAAGCUUUAGAAGCUUGUUAACCAGCCAGGAGUAGGAUUGCUUCGGUGUUGUUGUCCAGUAGUUACUGAGCGAGCCGUUGAGAAUGACUUCCUUAAACCAUUGGACCCAUACUGAGUCUGGCUUGAAGAAGAGAAGCCAGAUGAGUCGCAGUGUGCAUGCCUUAUUCCAAGACAAAAGCUGAACACCAGAAUGUUGUUAUGCCGGAGAUGACGGUCUUUAUAAGUAACAGUCUUCCCGAGAAAGAUAGCGACUUCACCGACCAGGAGGAGAACUUCGUUUUAAUUUGCUGGAUCAACGGGUCGCAGCUGGUAAGGCUCAACUUUUUGGAGUUUAGAGGAACUCCCAAGUAUCUGAAGGGAAGAGAGCCUAGCGUCAUUCCUGUUGAGGCCUGGAUUACGUCUGUUUCCGCUUGCGUUAACCCUGAUGCGAAGAAGCUGGUCUUCUGCAUACUCACCGCCAAACCCGACCGUUUCUCAAAAUCUUUCAACACCUGUAGGACCUGUUGCACCGAAUCAAUUGAGCCAUCUACAAAGAUUAGUAGAUCAUCUGCGAAUGAAAAUGAGUAAGUCUGAUAGGAGAGCAGCCUGAGUGGUAGUUUAAUCUGUGUUGCUGCGCUGCUUGGUUUAGCAUGUGAGACAAGCAGUUCAUGGCUAUCACAAAAAGCUUGAUGUGCAGACACAAGCCUUCAACUGGCGUAGGAGGCGCUCAGGGAGUUGAAGACCUUCAAGGCAGGAGAACAAGAAAUCCCAAGAGAGAGUGUCAAAUGCCUUCGCGAUGUCCACCUUUAUGGGAAUUUAGGUACCAACGACAGUAUAGUAGCGUUUGCUGUUGCCGGGAGAAAGUUCGAUGCAAAGAAAUUCCACUGCAGAUAUCACCUCUGGUCCAAUGGUGUCCCAAGAUGACUUGAAGAAAGCUGAGGUGUGGGGAUCGACAGCAUCAGUUGAGUCAAAUGGAUAGGGAAGACAUAAGAGGUGAGAUCCCGAAACCAUUCCGAAGGCGUGUGAAGGAGAGCCGGUUGAUAUCCAAGUACUGAUUUGAAAUGGUUGAUUGCAUGAGUACUCAUCUCUUGGGGAUCAGUAAUCCACACACCAGACAAUGAGAGAAAGGCUCUUAUCGCAUUAUAGCUAGGUCUUAUUUGGCAGAUCUUAUGGAAGAAAUUCCACUUGUAGUGCAAGUCCCUCUCCGCUUGGAAUGUAGUGGUGCUCGGGUUUUGUAAAGCUUGUACCUGCUUUCAGGUCACUCUUUAUUUGUUUCAACUUCCAACACAGCUGAGCUAAAGUUUGACAUGCGUUUCCAGUCUGAAUCCAAGCAUCAUGCAGCAACUGUAUGAAACCAGGGUGCUUUGUGAGGUAAUUUUGGAACUUGAAGGGUUGGGUCCCAAAGGAAGGGAGGCUAAACGCAAGGUCAAGGACACAGGGUGAGUGGUCUGAAAAUAGUGGAGGCUGGAAGGUGGCUAGGGCAUUGGGGAAGCUGGCAACAAAAGUAUUGUUGACCAUCUGCCUGUCAAGCUUUUUCGAAAUGGGGUAGGAAGGACAAGAGUUUAACCAAGUGUGUGAGGAGCCUAUGUAACGAAGAUCAAACAUCCCCAACUGUGUGAAGCAGUCACGGAGCUGAUACAUAUUGAAAUCAGGAGUAGUUACAGUAGGGUCCGAAUGUUCUGAGGGAUGGAUGAUCUUGUUAAGGUCCCCCCCAAGUACCCAUCUGCUAUUUUCCAGGUCCAUAGUUGAGUGAAGAUGGAGCAGUUCUGUCCAAAGAUCCACACGUUCCGCACUCAAGUUAGAGGCGUAAAUGGCAGAGUAAUAAAUAGGCUGUUGGUUUGGGAAGUUUAUCUUGCAAGUAAUACACUGCCUACUCUGCGCGAGGACUUGGACAGUUAGGGUAUCUCUCCAGAUCAAAAUGAUACGGCCAUCCGGGUCAGGAGUGGUUAGAGGUGAAAUUCCAGUUAGGGCAAAGGGUAGAUAAGAUAGGGCUAAGAUUGGGCAGUUUGAUAUGUGUUUCGAGAAUAGCUCCAAAAAGUGGCUUAGUAGUAUUUAGCCAAGAAAUAAAGGUCUAUGCUUAUCCGGGUCGUUAAUGCCACGAACAUUCCAAAAAAAAAAAGUUUUACACUCAUUGAGAUAAAAGGGGGGGGGGUCCUCCGAAAGAUUAGAGAAACCCGAAGGUACAAAAGAGUUAGAAAGAGGCGGGGAGGUAAAAGAGGGAGGAACAUGGGGAAUUAAAGAGGAAGAAGAAUUUUGAACAGGAAGGGAAGGGGGAUUAUUUAAGGGUAGAAGGGUUAAAGAGGAAGAGGAGGAAGGAGGGGGAUGGAUAAAGGGGUUUGAAUUUAGUGUUUCAGGCGGUGAUAGAGUAGGAGAAGAGCGGGAGCGUUUCAAGGAAGGCCUAGGGUGAUGGUGAGGAGUUUGAAAAUUGUUUAGGUUUGAGGAUGGAGAGGGAUGAGAAAGGGAAUGGGGGAUGAUCUUAAGAGGAGAAUCCAGGUGGGAAAGAGAAGGUUGUUGGGUUGGAAUAGUAGCAGAGGCAGUACUGAGUUCCAUAUCACAGGACGCAGGAACCAAUACUGGAGGAGCUGCAUCAGAACUUGAGGCAUUUUUUAAAGACUCAGGGACCUUUUGAGCAGGAGCAUGUUUAAAUUUAUUUUUCUGUUUAGCCAAUUCCUGAUUCUUUUGCCUUUCUUUCUUUGUAGCUUCAGCAUCCUCUGCAGUUGGGGUAUAGUGAAGACAGUUCCUGAUGAUGUGACCUAGCUUAUGGCAGUGUGAGCAAGUCGGAGGGACCCAAGGAUAGUGCACUGAUACUUCAACUACUUCACCAUCUUCUCUUUCGAAUUCAACAAUGGGAGGAAGUGGUUUGGUUAAGUCAACCUCCACCUUGACAUGCGCUAAGGUCUAGGGGAACACCCGUGAGAUGAGCCCAAAUCUGAAUAGCCUUAAGCGGAGGCGAGGAUUUGGAAUGGCCAGGAGACCACGGAGCUGUGUGAAACAUGGAGUCCCCCACAUACCAAAUGCCUUUCUCCAAGAUCUUCUUUCUAAGCUCCAAUUUGGAACACUGAAUCAGGAAUAAGAACUCUGGGUCGACCGGUUGGAGAGAUGGUGACAGGAGCCAGUCGACGAAGGGUCUUAUCUUCAGAGCGUCUAAUGCGCUCCACUAAA